rnacentral:rRNA from 1 species
UGCCUUGAAGAUCGGAGUGCUUGCACUCUGUGAAACAAGAUACAGGCUAGCGGCGGACGGGUGAGUAACACGUGGGUAACCUGCCCAAGAGAUCGGGAUAACACCUGGAAACAGAUGCUAAUACCGGAUAACAACAGAUGAUGCCUAUCAGCUGUUUAAAAGAUGGUUCUGCUAUCACUCUUGGAUGGACCUGCGGUGCAUUAGCUAGUUGGUAGGGUAACGGCCUACCAAGGCGAUGAUGCAUAGUCGAGUUGAGAGACUGAUCGGCCACAUUGGGACUGAGACACGGCCCAAACUCCUACGGGAGGCAGCAGUAGGGAAUCUUCCACAAUGGACGCAAGUCUGAUGGAGCAACGCCGCGUGAGUGAAGAAGGGUUUCGGCUCGUAAAGCUCUGUUGUUGGUGAAGAAGGACAGGGGUAGUAACUGACCUUUGUUUGACGGUAAU